CACAAUUUCUGGGUUGUUAAUACAUGUAUGUGUAACCAGGUUUGGUGAUGUUUUAUUCCCCUGCCAUGAAAUAUCCAUCAUUCUUUCAUUUCAUCAUUAUAUCAUUGUUGGUUUUGCGGAUUUUUAUUUGCUGUGCUUGUAGAUAAUGAGCUGGUCUUUGGUAUGUCUCUUUAUAUGGAUGACAUGCAGAUCAGGUUUGUUGAUAUGCUUCAUGAUGAUUGGCCUAUUUUCACCCAAGUUAUUGCUCUUAGACUUCGAAAAUUACUAAUUAUUCACUGCAUUUCAGACUUUUUCUUUGCUGUGCUUGUAGAUAAUGAACUGAGUUUUUGUAUGUCUCUCGAAAGAUCAAGUUUUGAGUUUCUUGUUGAUUUGUCUAUUUUCACUAAAAGAUAAAGUCUUAUUAUAGACUUUGAAAAUUUUUAAUUAUUAGCUGUUUUCUGGACUUUUUAGCUCACCUGCGCCAAAGGCUCAAGUGAGCUUUUCUGAUAAAAAUUUGUCCGUUGUCUGUUGUCGUCGGUGUCGUCGUAGUCGUUGUAAACUUUUCACAUUUUCAUCUUCAUCUCCAAAACCACUGGGUCAAUUUCAACCAAACUUGGCCAAAAGCAUUCUUGGGUGAAGGGCUUUCAAGUUUGUUCAAAUGAAGGGCCAUGCCCCCAUGAAAGGGGGAGAUAAUCACAAAAAUGUAAAAUUAGGGUAGGGUCAUUUAAAAAUCUUCUUCUUAAGAACCACUGGGCCAGAGAAGCUGACAUUUCCAUAAAAGCUUCCUGAUAGAGUGCAGAUUCAAGUUUGUUCAAAUCAGGGCCCCAGAGGGUAGGAUGGGGCCACAAUAGGGGAUCAAAGUUUUACAUAGAAAUAUAUAGGGAAAAUCUUUAAAAAUCCUCUUCUCAAGAACCGAUGAGCCAGAAGAGCUAAGAUUUACAUGAAAGCUUCCUGACAUAGUGCAAAUUAAAGUUUGUUCAAAUCAUGGCCCCCGGGAGUAGGUUGGGGUCACAAUAGGACAUCAAAGUUUUACAUGAGAAUAAAUAAAGAAACUCUUUAGAAAUCUUCUUCUCAAGAUCCAAUGGUCCAGAAGAGCUGACAUUUAGAUGAAAGCUUCCUGACAUAGUGCAGAUUCAAGUUUGUUCAAAUCAUGGCCCCUGGGGUAGGUUGAGGCCACAAUAGGGGAUCAAAGUUUUAAAGAGAAAUAUAUAGAGAAAAUCUUUAAAAAUCUUCUUCUCAAGAACCAUUGGGCCAAAGAAGUUGACAUUUACAUGAAAGCUUCCUGACAUGGUGCAGAUUCAAGUUUUUAAAAAUCAUAGCCUCCAGGGGUAGGUUGGGGACACAAUAGGGACUAAGGUUUUACAUGCAAAUAUAUAUGGAAAGUCUUCAGAUAUGGGCCAAGGUGACUCAGGUGAGCAAUGUGGCCCAUGGGCCUCUUGUUUCUUUGAUGUUCUUUUAAACGAUAAGCAGAUUUUUAGUUUGUACCUUUAUAAUAAUAACACACAGAUCAAUUUUCACCUUCCUUAGUAAUCAAAUAGUAUCUUACUAAUUCAUUAUAAGAUCUAUCAUGCACUUUCAUUUCCUUAAAGACUAAAUUAAAUGUAAUUCUCUUCUAAUGGUUCAAGAAAACAAAAGCACCGUAUGAUAUGCUAUUUUUGUUUCAUUUGAACCCACUCAUUGUUAUUUGCACAUCCCCGGACUUUCAGAUAUUUUAAACUUUACAGCCAGCAGGGGCAUUUGUAUCACACCGACACAUUUUGUUUCCACAUUGCAGUUUGGCAACUUUGUGUUUUUGAUAAGCAUAAUUAUUUCCCAGGACCCACUUUUAAAAAAAUCCUUUCAUUAUGAUAAUUUAUUACUUCCUUCAGUUUGUGAAUAUUGUUGGUAUUUGUUUUAUAGUAAAAGUCCACCAGAAAAGCAUGCACAAUUAAUUGUAUUCAAUGACCAUACUUUAAGUGUGAGUCAGACAUUUUGUACUAGAUGUACAUGUAAAUUCUUUCUAAAGCAGGACCUUGUUGAUAUGUCUACAAAAUGCAGGUGUUUUGAGUCAUUUGUUAGAUCAACAGUCAUAUUUAUGAAGUAACAUACUUCUUUAAUCAUCAGAUUUUGGAUUUUACACAUUUUCUCAUGUUUCAUUAAAGUGUAGGUUUAGAACCAUCUUUAAUACCUUUAACUUUCAACUAAUAUUCCUUUGCCAGUUUGAUUAAGCUGUAUUUUCAUAUGCAUGUAUACAAGUGUGAGUCAAUAAGUAACCAGCCUAACUUAUUUCUGGUGGAGAUCCACCUCUUCUUUUUCGAUGUAAUUGCCCUCUAUUGUGAUGCACUUAGACCAACGGUGUUCAAGUGCCAUCAGCCCAGAA